rnacentral:rRNA from 1 species
UACGAAGGGGGCUAGCGUUGCUCGGAAUCACUGGGCGUAAAGGGUGCGUAGGCGGGUCUUUAAGUCAGGGGUGAAAUCCUGGAGCUCAACUCCAGAACUGCCUUUGAUACUGAGGAUCUUGAGUUCGGGAGAGGUGAGUGGAACUGCGAGUGUAGAGGUGAAAUUCGUAGAUAUUCGGAAGAACACCAGUGGCGAAGGCGAACACACUGGGCCAUUACUGACGCUGAGGCGCGAAAGCGUGGGGAGCAAACAGGG